CGGCGGACGGGUGAGUAACGCGUGGGUGACCUGCCCCAUACCGGGGGAUAACAGCUGGAAACGGCUGCUAAUACCGCAUAAGCGCACAGAGCUGCAUGGCUCGGUGUGAAAAACUCCGGUGGUAUGGGAUGGGCCCGCGUCUGAUUAGGCAGUUGGCGGGGUAACGGCCCACCAAACCGACGAUCAGUAGCCGGCCUGAGAGGGCGACCGGCCACAUUGGGACUGAGACACGGCCCAAACUCCUACGGGAGGCAGCAUG
rnacentral:rRNA from 1 species